GAGAAUCCAAGACCCUUUUCUGGCCUCUGGUUACCAGGCAUGCACACAUGGUGCAUAAAUAUACAUGAAGUAGGAAACAUAGGAAAUCCUCAGUGAUUGAAGUCCUGAGUGACUGCAUCACAGACAUGGGCGCAGCCACGACAAGGACCAAGGCAUGGGACCCAUGGAAAAGAGCAACAGUCUUCUUUAGGUGAGGCUCAAGGGAAUGGCAAAGCCUUCUUCCAGGGUUCAAGUUCCAGGGAUUGACUAGCAUGUACAAGUAGCUUGUGCAGCUUCUUCCUCCAGGGUGUUUACAGCCUGAGACUGCAGGCCCACAGAGACCUCGGGGAGAAUAGCUAAA
rnacentral:lncRNA from 1 species